CAAUGAUCUCCUUCUCAGAUCCUUGGAAUGCAUCUACAGUGGACACCUGGACAGCUUUAAUUUUGGAAAGCUCAUAAAAGGCACUAUGUAUACAUGGAGAUGGAUCCAAGGACCAUUUCUUAUGCUUGGGGUAUUCAGACAUUGAGAUGUUUCUACAAGAAGUAGCAGUAAUCUUAAGAGAUUCUGUUCUAGGACAGAACUCUACUUAUGUGAAAUUCUGCAAAAGGCGGAAUGAAAAUUCAAGGAUCAGAAGCUCCAUGCUGGUGGAAUCGAUGUUAUAAUGUCAACAUCAUUAUCAGAGCGACCUCAUCCAGGAAAAGAAUUUUCAGGAAAUGCAUGAAGUAGGCGAGGAAAGCAGCAUUACAAAAGAGUUUAAAAGGAUAUUCUGUACACAGGGACAGCUCAGUCAAGCUCAUCUUUUGCAUUACAUUUAAAAUAAGUGAACAUUUACCUAGAUACAAAAAUCUUCCUUUAAGUCUGCCUGGAAUUGUACAUAUAUGAUUAAGGAAGCAAGACUACUGUUUCAUCACAAUGAAAUAUCCCUAAAUUCUAUCAAACACUGGCAGUAUAUAUGGAUUAGCAUUUCUGCAAAGAUGCAAUAGCAACAAAUUUCACAAUUAUUUGCUGUGUACCACGAA